rnacentral:rRNA from 1 species
AGCGAACGCUGGCGGCAGGCUUAACACAUGCAAGUCGAGCGGGCAUCCUUGUGGUGUCAGCGGCAGACGGGUGAGUAACGCGUGGGAACGUGCCCUUCGGUUCGGAAUAACUCAGGGAAACUUGAGCUAAUACCGGAUACGUGCGAGAGCAGAAAGGUUUAUCUGCCGAAGGAUCGGCCCGCGUCUGAUUAGCUAGUUGGUGAGGCUACGGCUCACCAAGGCGACGAUCAGCAGCUGGUCUGAGAGGAUGAUCAGCCACACUGGGACUGAGACACGGCCCAGACUCCUACGGGAGGCAGCAGUGGGGAAUAUUGGACAAUGGGGGCAACCCUGAUCCAGCCAUGCCGCGUGAGUGAUGACGGCCUUAGGGUUGUAAAGCUCUUUUCUCCGGGACGAUAAUGACGGUACCGGAGGAAUAAGCCCCGGCUAACUUCGUG